rnacentral:rRNA from 1 species
GCGACGGGUGAGUACACGUGGGCAAUCUGCCCUGCACUCUGGGACAAGCCCUGGAAACGGGGUCUAAUACCGGAUACUGAUCCUCGCAGGCAUCUGCGAGGUUCGAAAGCUCCGGCGGUGCAGGAUGAGCCCGCGGCCUAUCAGCUAGUUGGUGAGGUAACGGCUCACCAAGGCGACGACGGGUAGCCGGCCUGAGAGGGCGACCGGCCACACUGGGACUGAGACACGGCCCAGACUCCUACGGGAGGCAGCAGUGGGGAAUAUUGCACAAUGGGCGAAAGCCUGAUGCAGCGACGCCGCGUGAGGGAUGACGGCCUUCGGGUUGUAAACCUCUUUCAGCAGGGAAGAAGCGAAAGUGACGGUACCUGCAGAAGAAGCGCCGGCUAACUACGUGCCAGCA